AAGCCCGGCGUCCAAGUGGGGACGCGGUUUUCCCAGGGACCCCCUCCCCUCCUGAGUUUAAAGUGCAGAAAGAGGGGGGCGAGGCGCUGGGGGUCUGGAAGUGGAAGUGGGGGGGGCAGGCUGCGUCUCCGCGGGCCCCGAUAAAGUGGCCGUUCGCGGGCCGGCAGCGCUGUGAUUAGAAUAUGAAUGGGGCUCGGCAGGCGGAAGAGAAAGGCGGAUUACCCCGGGUGCUUUGACCAUGGACAGAGGCAGCCCGGCCCGGCCGCGGAAGGGGCGGGGUAGGCGGGCGGGGUCCCUAAGGCCCGGCGAGGGGGUCUCUAACCCGGGACCCGAGCCGGCGCGCCUUCCCGCGGUCCCUCGCGGAGCCCCCGUCCUGCGCUCCACGGAGGGCCAAGUGGGACAGGGUUGGGGGCCCGCAGGGGCCAGCACGUGCCGAGUUAAGGUCCGGGUGCGGGAGGAGGAAGGAGGCGGCGGCGCCGAGUGCGGGCUGCGCAGAGCCUGAGGCUGGCCUGUUUCAGAGCCCUGGGUUCGAAUUUCGACUCGGAACUUUGUUCACAGGGCCCCGAGCAGAGGCAGGCAUUCUUUCCAGCUGCGACGGUUGGCGACCGGGCAAGCGGUCGAUGGAAACCGGUGGCGACCGAAGGCGAAGGCGGCGGUGUCGCGGCGGUGAGGACGGCGGGAUUCGGAGUCAGAAGAUCUGAGCGGCUGGAGCCACCGCCCGCAUCCUCGAUUUCUCCCAGAGCCAAAUGCGGCGAAUGAUAAAAGCCUCCUUCAGCCGCCUGCAGGGCCCAAUCCGAGGUAGAAGAUUGGGCAGGAGCUUGAGCAGGUGCAUGCAGGUGUUGGUGGACACCUGGGCAAUUUUUGAGGGAUGCUGGCGGCCAAGGUGGUCUGUUGUUAUUAUUCGUAUUUUAAUUAUACCCGAAAAAUGGAUGUGGGGUGAGGUGGGGUGAGCCGGACUGGCAAGAAAAGUGAGGAGAAAGAACUUGCUUGCAAGUGGGCCCUGCAGGGCUGGUGCGUGCGGGUUCCGCCCUGUGUAAUCUAACCUGGAAUGGCACCAGCUCUUCCCCCUGACAGUGCUGCAGAAACGGGGAGCUCAAAGAAAUGCAAAUAAGCAGAUAGUCAUUCAUUCCUUGGCAAUUUUUAUUGCACACCUACUAUGUGCCCACCAGUAGUUGAUCUAGGAGCUGUGGAUACAGCACUGAAGAAAGUAGACUUAAAAAAAAAUAUCCUGCCUUCCUGGAACUUAUAUUGGAAUGAAGGGGAAUAGCUAAUAGGUAAAAUACAUAAUUAGAUUGUAUAGGUUGUCCAAUGAUGAGUGCUAUGUAGCAGGUGGGACCAGGGAGGACCUCUCUGAAGUGGUCACACUUGCGUUUAUUUUUAUUUUAAUUUUUAAAAAUGUUUUGUUUAUUUAUUCAUGAGAGACACUCACAGAGAGGCAGAGACACAGGCAGAGGGAGAAGCAGGCUCCCUGCAGGGAGCCCGAUGUGGGACUCAAUCCCAGGACCCCAGGAUCAUGCCCUGAGGGAGAAGCAGAUGCUUAACCACUGAGCCACCCAGGUGCGCACCCUUGAGUUUAAAAACAAAGCUAUCCUAUGGGCUACUAACAUGGUGUGUUGACUAGUGGAAAUUCACUGAGCUGUGUACACUCAUGAUUUUAUGCGUUUUUCUGAAUGUAUUUCAAACCUCAAUAAAAUGUUUGUUCACGUUCAAUAACAUCGUAA